UUAAAAUGAGAGUUUGAUCCUGGCUCAGGACGAACGCUGGCGGCGUGCCUAAUACAUGCAAGUCGAACGAAACUUUCUUACACCGAAUGCUUGCAUUCAUCGUAAGAAGUUGAGUGGCGGACGGGUGAGUAACACGUGGGUAACCUGCCUAAAAGAAGGGGAUAACACUUGGAAACAGGUGCUAAUACCGUAUAUCUCUAAGGAUCGCAUGAUCCUUAGAUGAAAGA
rnacentral:rRNA from 1 species